CCUACGGGUGGCAGCAGUGGGGAAUAUUGCACAAUGGGGGAAACCCUGAUGCAGCGACGCCGCGUGAGUGAAGAAGCAAUUCGUCAUGUAAAGCUCUAUCAGCAGGGAAGAAAAUGACGGUACCUGAGCAAGAAGCCCCGGCCAACUACGUGCCAGCAGCCGCGGUAAUACGUAGGGGGCAAGCGUUAUCCGGAUUUACUGGGGGUAAAGGGAGCGUAGACGGCAGCGCGAGUCUGGAGUGAAAGGCGGGGGCCCAACCCCCGGACUGCUCUGGAAACUGUACGGCUGGAGUGCAGGAGAGGUAAGUGGAAUUCCUGGUGUAGCGGUGAAAUGCGUAGAUAUUAGGAGGAACACCAGUGGCGAAGGCGGCUUACUGGACUGUAACUGACGUUGAGGCUCGAAAGCGUGGGGAGCAAACAGGAUUAGAUACCCCUGUAGUC
rnacentral:rRNA from 1 species